AACGGCCGAACCAGCCAUUUGGGAGAACGGAAUCAUUUUUAAUGUGCAUAUGAAUAGUUAUAUCAUAUGUAUCGACAAAGAAUAAAGUUCUGAAUAGAUAAUUGAUAAUGACAAAUUUCUAUUCAUCAGUCUUGACUAAUUCUUGUGCCAGCAGUCGCGGUAACACAAGUAAGACAAGUGUUAUUCAUCAUUAUUAGGUUUAAAGCGUACCUAGACGGCAUUUUACACCGAUGAAAAGGUUAAUUUUUUGCUAGAGUUUUAUACGGGAGGUAAAUAUUAGGACUAUUGGUGUAGAGAUGAAAUUCUUUGAUACUAAUAGAAUGUGUAACGACGAAGGUAACCCUCUAUAUACAAACUGACGUUGAGGAACGAAGGCUUGGGGAGCAAAUAGGAUUAGAUACCCUAGUAGUCCAGGCAGAAAAUUAUGAAUGUUAUAUGCUACAAAGGGAGUGUAUAAAUGAAAGUGUAAGCAUUCCACCUCAUGAGUAAAGGGGCAACCCCGGAAUUGAAAUCAUUAGACCGUUUCUGAAACCAGUAGUGAAGUAUGUUAUUUAAUUCGAUGAUCCUCGAAAAAUCUUACCACAAUUUGAAUAGUAUUUAUUGAGAUAUUACAGGCGUUGCACGGCUGUCUAAAGCUAAUGUCGUGAGAUUGUGGUUAGAUUCAUAAAAUUAGCGUAAUCCCUCGCUUUAUUUAAUAAUAAUAUUAAAAAACUAAAUAAUAUUGUGAUUUACCCUUACAAUAAGGGUAAAGUAAUGGGGAAGAAGACAAGUCAU
rnacentral:rRNA from 1 species